AGAAAGGAAGAAUAUAGCUUAUUGUAUGUAAUCAGGUUCCUCAUUGGGUUAAAUGAGAAUUUUGUUGUAUUUAGGUCACAAAUAUUACUCAUGGAUCCAUUACCACCUAUGGACAAGAUAUUUUCAACGUCGUUCCAUUUUGAAUGACAAGAGUAAUUAUCAUUCUUUGUAUAUAAAAGUCCCACUUUAAACUCUUGGAUGAUAGAUUCGGGAGUUAGUAAUCAUAUAUGCUCCUCAAAUUCUUAGUUUCAUUCUUACAAUGCAAUGAAUCUAAUCAAUGUUAAAUUGCGUAAUCGACUAUUUGCA
rnacentral:lncRNA from 1 species